rnacentral:tRNA from 1 species
UGAAAUAGCUCAAUUGGUAGAGCAACUGAAUCGUAAUCAGUAGGUUGCGGGUUCAAUUCCUGUUUUCAGC